rnacentral:rRNA from 1 species
ACGAACGCUGGCGGCACGCUUAACACAUGCAAGUCGAACGAGAGAAGAGGAGCUUGCUUUUCUGAUCUAGUGGCGGACGGGUGAGUAACACGUGAGCAAUCUGCCUUUCAGAGGGGGAUACCGAUUGGAAACGAUCGUUAAUACCGCAUAACAUAAUUGAACCGCAUGAUUUGAUUAUCAAAGAUUUAUCGCUGAAAGAUGAGCUCGCGUCUGAUUAGCUAGUUGGUAAGGUAACGGCUUACCAAGGCGACGAUCAGUAGCCGGACUGAGAGGUUGAUCGGCCACAUUGGGACUGAGACACGGCCCAGACUCCUACGGGAGGCAGCAGUGGGGAAUAUUGCACAAUGGAGGAAACUCUGAUGCAGCGAUGCCGCGUGAGGGAAGAAGGUUUUAGGAUUGUAAACCUCUGUCUUCAGGGACGAAAAAAGACGGUACCUGAGGAGGAAGCUCCGGCUAACUACGUGCCAGCAGCCGCGGUAAUACGUAGGGAGCGAGCGUUGUCCGGAAUUACUGGGUGUAAAGGGAGUGUAGGCGGGAUCGCAAGUCAGAUGUGAAAACUAUGGGCUUAACCCAUAAACUGCAUUUGAAACUGUGGUUCUUGAGUGAAGUAGAGGUAAGCGGAAUUCCUAGUGUAGCGGUGAAAUGCGUAGAUAUUAGGAGGAACAUCAGUGGCGAAGGCGGCUUACUGGGCUUUAACUGACGCUGAGGCUCGAAAGCGUGGGGAGCAAACAGGAUUAGAUACCCUGGUAGUCCACGCCGUAAACGAUGAUUACUAGGUGUGGGGGGACUGACCCCUUCCGUGCCGCAGCAAACGCAAUAAGUAAUCCACCUGGGGAGUACGACCGCAAGGUUGAAACUCAAAGGAAUUGACGGGGGCCCGCACAAGCAGUGGAGUAUGUGGAUUAAUUCGAAGCAACGCGAAGAACCUUACCAGGUCUUGACAUCGUAUGCAUAGCUCAGAGAUGAGUGAAAUCUCUUCGGAGACAUAUAGACAGGUGGUGCAUGGUUGUCGUCAGCUCGUGUCGUGAGAUGUUGGGUUAAGUCCCGCAACGAGCGCAACCCUUACUGUUAGUUGCUACGCAAGAGCACUCUAGCAGGACUGCCGUUGACAAAACGGAGGAAGGUGGGGAUGACGUCAAAUCAUCAUGCCCCUUAUGACCUGGGCCUCACACGUACUACAAUGGCUGUCAACAGAGGGAAGCAAAGCCGCGAGGUGGAGCAAACCCCUAAAAGCAGUCUUAGUUCGGAUUGUAGGCUGCAACCCGCCUACAUGAAGUCGGAAUUGCUAGUAAUCGCAGAUCAGCAUGCUGCGGUGAAUACGUUCCCGGGCCUUGUACACACCGCCCGUCACGCCAUGGGAGUCGGUAACACCCGAAGCCUGUAGUCUAACCGCAAGGAGGACGCAGUCGAAGGUGGGAUUGAUGACUGGGGUG